GAAGAAGUAUGUAAGCGUCAUGGAUAUGCUU
rnacentral:piRNA from 1 species